rnacentral:rRNA from 1 species
AUUGAACGCUGGCGGCAUGCUUUACACAUGCAAGUCGAACGGUAACAGGCCGCAAGGUGCUGACGAGUGGCGAACGGGUGAGUAAUGCAUCGGAACGUGCCCAGUCGUGGGGGAUAACGCAGCGAAAGCUGCGCUAAUACCGCAUACGAUCUGUGGAUGAAAGCGGGGGACCUUCGGGCCUCGCGCGAUUGGAGCGGCCGAUGUCAGGUUAGGUAGUUGGUGGGGUAAAGGCUCACCAAGCCGACGAUCUGUAGCUGGUCUGAGAGGACGACCAGCCACACUGGGACGGAGACACGGCCCAGACUCCUCCGGGAGGCAGCAGUGGGGAAUUUUGGACAAUGGGGGCAACCCUGAUCCAGCAAUGCCGCGUGCAGGAAGAAGGCCUUCGGGUUGUAAACUGCUUUUGUACGGAACGAAAAGGCUCUGGUUAAUACCUGGGGCACAUGACGGUACCGUAAGAAUAAGCACCGGCUAACUACGUGCCAGCCGCCGCCGUAACAC